CUCAGCACAAACAGUUGGAGAGCGAGGAGGCCUCCUUUUCACGCCAGCAAGAGCUGGGUGCAAGACCUUCAACGGUGUCUGCUGUGACAGAGACAGGAGUAGUGACAGACCACCCUGAUAAAGGCGAAGUAGCCCAUGGCAGAAAGGCAGAAGUGGCUGCAUGGGGAGUCAUCUCCAGACUCAAUUUAUUAAGGCAAGGAAAUUUGCUUUUGUCACAUAAUUAUGGGAUGUGCGAGGGAGUAAAACAGUGUGGGGUCAUACUGGGCCUUGGUUUUUUUAAGCUCUCCAAGAGAGGCAGAAAGAAUCCAUCACCAAAAACACCAGUGAAAAAUGUGAUGUUCAUAGUGAUUAUAUGAGAUGUUCCAUAUGAACGUUCUGGGUUGAAAUGCAUUGUUGAGUCAAUGCAGAAAAGAGAUCUCCAGGGACAUGAUUCACCGGAGAGCUAAAAAGCGCUGCCUAAGAAAGUGGGCUCGGCUCUUUAGGAAAACACUAUGCAGGUGAGACAUGUCUUAUUCUAACUCUUUAAAAAAAAUUUUUUUUUAAAUUAUUUAUUUUUAUUUUUAUUACAUUUUAGGUUUUGGAGUACAUGUGAAGAACAUGCAAGAUUGUUGCAUAGGUACACACGUGGCAGUGUGAUUUGCUGCCUUCCUCCCCAUUACCUGUAUCUGGCAUUUCUCCGCACGCUCUCUCUCCCCAACUCUCCACCCCCCGCUGUCCCUCCCCUCUCUUUUAACAUUCUUGAUUCCCCGCUCCCAAGCUUCACCAGACUCAAAAAGGAUCAGAAAUUGUGUAGCAGGCUGGGGGUGGAUUGGAGAAGUUCAAGGUGAAGAAGCAAAGUGAGGAAGCCAUGAACUCUUUCUCUAAAGUCCGGCAGCCACUAACUACCCCUUAAGCAAGGGGAAGAGGAGGAGAGUCUACAUUUUGAAUGAAAGUAAGAAUUGAUUUUCAUGCUGACAAAGAUGCUUUUAAUCCUAUUUGAAAUUGCAAUGGACUGCAGGACUGGCUAGCAGUUAAGGAAAGCAUCCGGUUUCGGUGCUGGAG
rnacentral:lncRNA from 13 species